UCCGUAGGUGAACCUGCGGAAGGAUCAUUAUCGAGUCCUGACUGGGUUGUAGCUGGCCUUCCGAGGCACGUGCACGCCCUGCUCAUCCACUCUACACCUGUGCACUUACUGUGGGUUUCAGAUCUGUGAAGCGUGCCCCUUGCGGGGCUUCGUGAAGCGCGUCUGUGCCUGCGUUUAUCACAAACUCCAUAAAGUAUUAGAAUGUGUAUUGCGAUGUAACGCAUCUAUAUACAACUUUCAGCAACGGAUCUCUUGGCUCUCGCAUCGAUGAAGAACGCAGCGAAAUGCGAUAAGUAAUGUGAAUUGCAGAAUUCAGUGAAUCAUCGAAUCUUUGAACGCACCUUGCGCUCCUUGGUAUUCCGAGGAGCAUGCCUGUUUGAGUGUCAUGAAAUCUUCAACCUACAAGCUUUUGCGGUUUGUAGGCUUGGACUUGGAGGCUUGUCGGCCCUUUGUCGGUCGGCUCCUCUUAAAUGCAUUAGCUUGAUUCCUUGUGGAUCGGCUCUCGGUGUGAUAAUGUCUACGCCGCGACCGUGAAGCGUUUGGCGAGCUUCUAACCGUCUUCGCUUGAAGACAGCUUUAUGACCUCUGACCUCAAAUCAGGUAGGACUACCCGCUGAACUUAAGCAUAUCAAUAAGCGGAGGA
rnacentral:rRNA from 1 species